rnacentral:rRNA from 1 species
UACAGAGGGGGCAAGCGUUGUUCGGAAUUACUGGGCGUAAAGGGCGCGUAGGCGGCCUUCUAAGUCGAACGUGAAAUCCCCGGGCUCAACCCGGGAACUGCGUCCGAUACUGGAAGGCUUGAAUCCGGGAGAGGGAUGCGGAAUUCCAGGUGUAGCGGUGAAAUGCGUAGAUAUCUGGAGGAACACCGGUGGCGAAGGCGGCACCCUGGACCGGCAUUGACGCUGAGGCGCGAAAGCGUGGGGAGCAAACAGG